rnacentral:rRNA from 1 species
GCUCAGAUUGAACGCUGGCGGCAUGCUUUACACAUGCAAGUCGAACGGCAGCACAGGGAGCUUGCUCCCGGGUGGCGAGUGGCGCACGGGUGAGUAAUACAUCGGAACGUGUCCUGUUGUGGGGGAUAACUGCUCGAAAGGGUGGCUAAUACCGCAUGAGACCUGAGGGUGAAAGCGGGGGAUCGCAAGACCUCGCGCAAUUGGAGCGGCCGAUGCCCGAUUAGCUAGUUGGUGAGGUAAAGGCUCACCAAGGCGACGAUCGGUAGCUGGUCUGAGAGGACGACCAGCCACACUGGGACUGAGACACGGCCCAGACUCCUACGGGAGGCAGCAGUA